rnacentral:rRNA from 1 species
AGCAGCCGCGGUAAUUCCAGCUCCAAUAGCGUAUAUUAAAGUUGCUGCAGUUAAAAAGCUCGUAGUUGAAUUUCGGGAUCAAUAUGUUGGUCGUGCCUCGGUACGUACUAGCUUAUUGGUUUCUUCCUUCUGACGAACCAUAAUGUCAUUUAUUUGGUGUUAUGGGGAAUCAGGACUGUUACUUUGAAAAAAUUAGNGUGUUUAAAGCAGGCUCACGCUUGAAUACAUUAGCAUGGAAUAAUGAAAUAGGACGUUUGAUUCUAUUUUGUUGGUUUCUAGGAUCGACGUAAUGAUUAAUAGGGAUAGUUGGGGGCAUUAGUAUUCAAUUGUCAGAGGUGAAAUUCUUGGAUUUAUUGAAGACUAACUACUGCGAAAGCAUUUGCCAAGGAUGUUUUCAUUAAUCAAGAACGAAAGUUAGGGGAUCGAAGACGAUCAGAUACCGUCGUAGUCUUAGCCAUAAACUAUGCCGACUAGGGAUCGGAUGAUGUUAAUUUUUUUAAUGACUCAUUCGGCGCCUUAC